rnacentral:lncRNA from 1 species
UCCUUUACUACGGCAAUUGAGAUUUCGACACGUGGCGUUUGGCUGACUCAUAAAUUGUCACCUGUCCACAAGCUUUUUUUUUUUGUUUGUUUGGUUUAUUGGAGAGAUAAAGUUUUUAAAAAAAAAUUUCAAUCCAAUUGAAUUAGGAGUGGAGGAAAUUACUCGAACAUUGACGGAUACUGAAAUAGGACGACGAAUCCGGAUUGUUCCUCCCCCGUCUUGGGUUACAGGAUACAGAUGAUUUAUUGACGGCUCCUGGAAGAAUACAGAUGAGUUUGCAGGAUUGGGAUGGUAUUGCCAACACGUCCCAGAUUCCUCCGUGACAAUGGGUGCCUCCAAUCUCCGACGUAGCCUCUCCCCCAUUCAUGCCGAAGUAGAAGCCCUUGUAUAGGCGAUGCGUUGUAUGAUAGGACACAACCACAGAGAUGUUUUAUUCCUCACGGACUGUUCAGACUUGGUUAAGAUGGUGUCUUCUCCAACCGACUGGCCAGCGUUUUCUAUUUAUUUGGAGGAUAUUAUCGCCGAUAGGGAAGAAUUUUCAUCUUUUUCGCUCUCUCUUAUUUCUCGUAAUUUGAAUGUGAAGGCGGAUUCUUUGCCGCGAAAUGUUCGCAUCAUGCCGUCUCUUGUUAAGUUUGUAAACAACUGUCCUCUACAUUGGCUCAUCUGAGCUGAUUUUUUUUCGGUUGAUGAAAAAAAAAAAAAGGAGUGGAGGAAAUUAAAUGAUUUGUAAAAGAGCAAAUUUUGUAGCUUUAUUCCAUCGUCAAUAGAUAUUUGAU